UAACGCGAAGAACCUUACCAGGUCUUGACAUCCAAUGAACUUUCCAGAGAUGGAUUGGUGCCUUCGGGAGCAUUGAGACAGGUGCUGCAUGGCUGUCGUCAGCUCGUGUUGUGAAAUGUUGGGUUAAGUCCCGCAACGAGCGCAACCCUUAUCCUUUGUUGCCAGCGAGUAAUGUCGGGAACUCAAAGGAGACUGCCGGUGAUAAACCGGAGGAAGGUGGGGAUGACGUCAAGUCAUCAUGGCCCUUACGAGUAGGGCUACACACGUGCUACAAUGGCGCAUACAAAGAGAAGCGACCUCGCGAGAGCAAGCGGACCUCACAAAGUGCGUCGUAGUCCGGAUCGGAGUCUGCAACUCGACUCCGUGAAGUCGGAAUCGCUAGUAAUCGUGGAUCAGAAUGCCACGGUGAAUACGUUCCCGGGUCUUGUACACACCGA
rnacentral:rRNA from 1 species